rnacentral:tRNA from 1 species
UAGGCACUAGUAACAACCCUAUUACGCCGGUUAGUCAAGUCGGAGUUGUGGGUGAAAAUCCCACGUAUCUAG